rnacentral:other from 1 species
AUCUGUCGCGGAGUAUUGUGGGGUCGGUUUUUGGCCCGAUCCGUUAAUACAGACUCAGGAGAUCGAGUGGAUCGUCGGUGUGCAGGCCGGUCCCGCGACCGGAAGCCUAAGGCCGAUCCUAGGUCGCCGCCUUGAACCCCUACGGUUCAGGGUCUAACCGCUCCAUGGAUACUCCGGACAACUU